CAACCCAACCAGGGUCAACCAAACCAAACCCAACCCAACGAAAAGUCAACUAAGGUCAACCCAACCCAACCCAACCCAAAGGUUAACCAAGGUCAACCAAACCCAACCCAACCCAAGAUCAACCCAACUCAAAGGUCAACCCAAGUCAACCCAACCAACAUCAACCCAACCCAACCCAACUCAAAGUCAACCCAACCCAACCCAGCCCAAGGUCAACCCAACCCAACCCAACUCAAAGUCAACCCAACCCAAGGUCAACCCAACCUGACCCAAAGUCAACCAAACUCAACCCAACCCAAUCCAAGGUCAACCAAACCCAAACCCAACCCAAGGUCAAUCCAACCCAACUCAAAGUCAACCCAACCCAACUCAAAGUCAAUCCAACCCAACUCAAGAUCAACCCAACCAAAAGUCAACCAAGGUCAACGAAACCCAACUCAAGGUCAAGCCAACCCAACUCAAAGUCAACCCAACUCAAGUCAAGGUCAACCAAAUCUAACUCAAGGUCAGCCAAGGUCAACUCAACCCAACCCAACCCAACUGAAGAUCAACUCAACCCAACAUCAACCAAGGUCAACCCAACACAAAGUCAACCCAACUCAAGGUCAACCAAGAUCAACUCAACCCAACUCAUGGUCAACCCAAGUCAACCCAACCAAUGGUCAGCAAAGGCCAAACCAACCCAACGACCAACACGAGUCAAGACCGGACAAUCGAUGGUCAAAGACCAACCCAGUGGUCACCU
rnacentral:lncRNA from 1 species